AUGUCACUAUUCAGAUCUCCGCUUCAUAUCAUAGGUACGCUCUCUCUCCGUCUCGCCUUUCUAUUUCUGUUAUCUAGGUCAUGCUCACGCUCACGCUCAAUCUUUGCUCAUUUCAUUACCAAUUUAUGCCACGCUGCUUCAAAUCUUCAUUUCUCGUUAUUACUUCUGAUGCUGAUCCCAACUUCACCAUAUCCAUUUUUAAUCUUCAUUUCAUCUAAUUAUUGA